ACUGUCAUCAGCAACAAACGUGGCGGCGCCCGCAAUGUUGACUUUACGGUCAUUCAUUCAUAAAACAAUGACUUGUGUUUAGAAGCGACCAUAUCGUUAAUACAAAGACCGCAUUUCAAUAGCCUGUAUGGAUAUGUGCAAAACUACGUCAGAGCCAAGUUUCCUGACCCAGGCUGUUAUGGCCACACCCAGUUCCACCUGGUCCCUGAUAGGUAUUGCGGGGACAAAAUGGCCAAACUGAAUCUGACUGACCAGAUUGAGGUCUAUCUGAGAGCUAAUGGCAUUGCCAGUCUAUUCGCAUGGACAGGAGCACAAGCCAUGUAUCAAGGUGCGUAGAGUCAUUACUUGAAUAUCAGGUGUUAUUCUCCUUACCACCCUAAGCAUCAGUAAUUUUUAAUUCAUUUUACCAUUCAGCUGUUUUCUGACUGCUCUUGAAUACAUUUAUUCUUGAUACAUUUUAGUUGUGAAUACCACCAUUUGUUGUUAAAGGACAUUUGUAAUCUUGAACAAAACAUCAUCAGGUUUCUGGAGCCAUGAGGAUGUGGCCAGGUCCUUUGUAUCCCAGGCUGUGAUCACUAUUGGCCAGUACUUCUCUUUCUCCUGUUACCAGCACAACUCCCUGGCCCUGUCCAUGAGACGGAUGCUGUGAACCCCAGGAAGAAGUUGUGCUGCGGGACAGACAGUAUUCAUCUGUAUGAAAUGAAGCAUGGUGUUGUGGUUGGUCUGGAUUACAGGGUCCUCAAGCUCCUGAUCUGGUUCCUACUGGGCAGGUAAGGUGGACAUGGAGAGAUGGUGUAUGCAGGGUAAAAUAAGUGUUUUUGUUGAACUGUCUCCAUCUGGAUUCAACAGUGGCAAAUGUCAAUUAAUGUACACUGAACAUGUGCAGUGUAUGUAUGUGUAUAUAUAUAUAUAUAUAUCUGCAAUGAUCUGGCAGAAUGUAUUCAUGUGGAAAGUAAAAAACAGUUUCAUACAGGGUUGAUUGAUGUCCACAUCACUAAGGACCUAUCAUGGUCCAGACACACCAACAGUUGUGAAGUGGCCACAACAAUGCCUCUUCCCCGUCAGGAGGCUGGAAAGAUUUGUCAUGUGCCCCUCAGUUAUUCAAAAAGUUAUACAGCAGCACCAUUGUGAGCAUCUUGACUGGCUGCAUCACCGCUUGGUAUGGCAACUGCUUGGCAUCUGACUGCAAAGUGCUGUGGAGGGUGCGUACCUACGGCCCAGUACAUCACGGUUUGAGCUCCCUGCCAUCCAGGACCUCUAUAUAAGGCUGUGUCAGAGGAAGGCCCUAAAAAUUGUCAAAGACUCCAGCCAUAGACUGUUUCAAUGGGGAAAGAUUGGCGCGUACCCCGCUUCAGUGAUUAUUGUUGAAAACCCUGCUUCUGGUGUUCUGCUGUUUGCCACUAGGUGUCGCUUAGUCAAUGUGGAAAAACACAACCAUAGAUGGAACAAGGAGCCAGAUGUUUCACUGGAUGUAUAAAUCUGAAGCAUCCGGUUGGAAUUUCCACCCCUCACCAAACAUGGUGAGGAGAGGAAGCCCAGUGGGAGAGUAUGGAGCGAGAUGGAACUGGGCCGACAUUCUGCUGAUUUUUCUCAUAGAAGAAGAAAAGCCCGAUCUCAAUUAGUUAUCUCUUCCCAAAACUAGAAUCUGUUAGAGUGCAAUACGUUUUGUAGAUGUGACCCUUUGCCAAAGUUCCCUAACGGAAAUAUGCAAAUAAAUGCUAGAACGCGCCAAUAGGAUCUCGGUAGCUUGUCCUUGGCUCUGCCCACCUCCUUGCUUGUUCGGCCCACUCUGCUUAAUUUUCUCCUAUGAGAAACUACACAGAUGAAUUAUCUUGUUAGUUAUAAAUAUAUUUGGCACAACCAUUUAUCAGGGGUACUGACAAAGAUGAUUCAUCAUUAGGAUUUUUAUUUACCAUUCACAUACAACAGGAAAGUUACAUCUGAGUUAGGACAACAAUAAUAUAGCAUUUUAAAAUGUAUAUUAAAGGCACACUGCUUUAACACUGACAGAUAAUGUAAAAUAAACAUCAUAUGGGGACUUCAAGGGAUUAAUUAUAUCAGCAAAGCAGAAAAUUGACUUGUUUGUCAAAGUACAAGGCACUGCACACCAACUACCAUAUGUAAUUGAUAAGUGCAGUUGAGGAUGUGCAAGAAUAAGAAGACUUGUCAAACAAGAAGACAUUGGCAUUUAUGUCAAACCAUAGGCACGCACAUCCUGUUAGGCAAAAGUGAAGGCCUCUCAAGCGAUCUCACCAACCGAACCAAACAACACACUGUGCUCAGAUAUCACUGCUAUUUUCACAACCUCAUUGGUACUGGUAGUAUGAUGUUGAAUGAAACAUGGACAAAUACAAAAUAGAAAGAUAAUUUAUGUCAAAAUGCUGAAAAAUAUAUUGUUGCAUUAUAAUUAUUGAUCCAAAAAUAAAACAAAUAUUUUACUAAUACGUCUGUUGACACAUUCAGAAAGGGGGACAUUUUGUCUUUGGUAGAGGAUGUCCUUGUUUUUGUGGAAAAGGUGUUGCUGCAACAGUUUGCAAUAAGACGUUUUCUUGUUGAAUAAGGUUAUGAAACUACUUAGCACAUUUUUUUUAAUAAAUUCUAUUGGUUUAUGAAUAAGAAAUGGUUUCAGCGACACUCGGAAAACAAAACUUAGCACUAGGAACAUACAUUUCUUAUAGUUUAUUUACCCUGUUGAUGCUGUAUCGGUUUAAAUUUUUCGUUGUCUCGUUGUGGUAUUCUCAUCCUUUCCAUUAUUACCUUCCCUUGUCCUAAAAUAGCAGAAGUUAAAAAGAGCAUCUUAGUCUUGAAAAGAUACAGCAUGUGCAAAGUAAUGUCACUGUAAGAAUCAGUCAAACAAUACAAUUCCCUUGAGUAAGGUAUGAUUAGCUUAACAAAUACUCACAAUUUAUGCGUUGGUUCAGCAUGCACCCCAUUUUCUGAGAAUAAGAAAAUGUGAGUUUAGUUUUAUACAAAGGAUGACCAUCAUGUUAUAAAGAACACAUUGUACAUGGAGGAUGAAACAAUUGUCCUGAAAGCUACUGCAAAGCUGUAUGCACAUGUGAAGACGUCACGCUGCUUGCUUAGCGAGUAUCGCUUCCUCUUGAUUCGACUCGCAUGUGACACGUGACCUCCCUCCCGAAGUGUCUUACCAGUCGCGCCAUACGAAAAGCUAGCUGUUCGCUGGCACACUUCAGGCCGAGGAGUAAGUUCCCCACAUCCCGAUGUGCUACACAGAGCUGUAUACAAAGCAGUGUGUAUGUUAUUACCUGUGGGCGAGUGACUGCUCUUCUGCGAGCUCCACCUCUCAUAGAGCAGAAUGAGGAGGACCAGGAUGAUCACCUCAGCCACGAUGGCUAUGAAGGGUUUCAGAGGCUCCAUGAAGGUGAUGACCCGAACUUCCACCCGGCUCACACUGGCCUUGAUGUUAUAGAUGGCACUGCAGACAUAGACACCAGAGUCCUCCUCUGUCAGGUUCAUCACAGUGAGCUUGGUUGUGUUUCCAUCCACACUGAUCUUGUAACGAAGGGGGUCAGUAGUUGCAUUGAUGAGUUCCUGAAACCAAAAGAAAACGAUGGCACGAAGCCUUUAACAUGAAGUGAUACUAUUGAUAAUUGGCAUAGCUGUCAAAUGAAAUAGCAUAUGAUUUAUUAAUGGUCAACUGUAAGUUAAAUGAAAUUAAAACAUCUUAUGUUACAAUACGUAGUUAAUAACUAAUGCUGACGGCGUCUCCCUUUACACAUUGAUUACAUUUGGGCAAUCUUCUCACCUGCUCGGUUCCGUUUGCUUUGUACCAAAGCCAAGUGUUAGGGGGAAGCUUUGUUUUACAGGCCAUCGUCACAGAGUCACCCACAUACGCAACAAUAGGCUUGUCCUUCUUAUCAUCCAUCUCUGGGGCUGGAGGAGAAGAAAGGGACCCGUAUCAAGAUCAAAAUGCUAUCUACAGGCACACUUCAUUAUUCAAUACAAAUUGCCAGCGCCUUGCACAGAUGGGGUUUUAGUCCAUUUCUGUGCAUUCUUGUAAUGUUGUGAAUGAUCAUGUCACUAUACCUUUUAUUUAAUAUAAACAUACGUGUAAUAUUGGAUGACAGAGAACAUGUAGCCUAAUUUGACAUGCCUGUAGCAAUACAUGGCUAUGAAUGAGACUAGAGAAUGUGAAAUAUGGUGUAUGCAUUGACUUAUGUCAUAUAACAUACUGUACCUGCCACAUUGAAAUCAAUUUUUGCCUCGUCGGUAUCACUAAAGAUGCAUGAGUAGUUCCCAAGGGUAUCCCCAGUAAUUCUGAACCUGUAAAAUAUAUAAUCAUAGCUUCCUUUUUACUAACACAUGUCUAAGGAAAGUAUCAUAUCUAAAAUAUAGUUGUUUUGUCAGUCUAAGAACAUUCGCUGUCAAAUGUCAAUUAGGCGCAUCAUUAGAAAAUGUUGGCAAAGCAUGGCAUCUGACCUCUGGCCAUGGGCCAGAAUUGGUUACAGUCAAGGAACCCACUACUCUGGGAUACAAUAUAACAGAGGCAAAGUGGAUCAUUUUAACUGCUUCAGUAGUGAAAUAUAACCAAGUCCUGACGUACCAAAAGUGUAUUUGCACAAAGUAAUACAUAGAGGUCUUCAUGGGUCCUCCCGAACCUGAAUAGGCGAGACCUGACCCGGGACCCAAACUGCCCUCUGGUCCAGGUUGGGUCCUGUUUGAUUGUCAUCGUGUCCCAGACCUAGUCUUGGGUCUAUGUAACUACAGCUGUUAAACUUGAGUGGACCCUAAUGGACCCGCUCUGCAUAGCCUAUAGCAUACUUAUUUUAUGCUAAUAAGCUGAAUUUAUUCACUUAUAGAAGGCCUAGCCAACAUAUACAGACCUAUUCGUUAACCUGAAGAGCAACUUAGCUGAUACACAUGUUUUUUUUGUCACUAUGGUCCAAUCAGGUCGGGUCUAGACCUGGACCCGUUAGGGUACGGGUCUAGGUCUGGUUGUCGUCAGGUCCAUUCGAGUUCGGGUCUGACUGUUCUCGGGUCCAGAUUUGAUUGUCCUCGGGUCAGUUAAAGUCGAAAUCAAUCUUUUUGGACCCGAGAAGACCUCUAAUACAGAGCUGCCUAAUUUGGAGAGUAGAUACUGAAGAUAUUCUCCCAACCUCUAUAAUUAACAUUUGGGUCCAUAGACCAUUGUAUAUUUACAUGUAGAUGACAGGCAGUUACAUUUCAGAUUGACAUUCUCUAUCCCUGAUGGAAUAAUGAAUAAAUACUUACACUCUUUUGAGAUUAUAUUGUUCAUUCUCCAAUUGUACAGUAAGCCGAGAGUUAGUAAUUUCACUCCCAUCUUUUCGCCAGUACCCGGUAAUGUUUGGUAAUUUGUUUGGAUUACCGGUCCAGGUACAUGCUAGCUCUAAAUCGACGGGUUUCAAGAUUUCAACUUUUUCAACCAGACUGUCACCUGUUUAGAAUUUUGGUGGGAUUUCAAACAGAUAGAGAGAAAGAAGCUAAGAUGAGACAUCUGUUCAACCCCUAUAAUACAGCUAAAAUAGAUACGUAAACUUUACACAAAACAUACAGAUGAACAUAUACCAGAAUUUCAGACAACAAAACAUUUUCUAAAGUAUCACAAGAGGACUGAGUGAAGAAUGAAUUAAACAUGUAACACUACACCACUGUACACAAAGAAAUUGUGUACAGCAACAACACAAACUUGUGACUAAAACAAGAGCUCUCUAGUAGUUACCUUUCAGGACUGCACUCUUAAAGACUGUUGUGACUGGAUCCGUCAAAACCAACUCAGGAUUUGUUUCUGCUAUAAGGGAAAUGAACAUAAACAUUAUGUUGUUUGAUAUGACGAGUGUUACUGAGUGAUGUGUUGUGUUGGAUUUGCCCCAAACAUAAAGCUUUGUAUUCAGUACAUAAAAUUCAGUUUUACUUUAGUGCCUUAUUGCAAACAGGAUGCAUGUUUUGGAAUAUGUUUUAUUCUGUACAGGCUUCCUUCUUUUCACUCUGUGGUAUAUUUCCUCUCCAGCAACUAAAUUAUGAAGGAUGCCUGUAUCUUUGUAGUGACUGGGUGUAUUGAUACACCAUCCAAAGUGUAAUAACUUUACCAUGCUCAAAGUGAUAUUCAAUGUCUGCUUUUCAUGUUUUAUUCAUUUCUAAAAACAAUUCCACUGGUUAUUGGUUAUUGUGUGUAGGCCAGUGACACAAGUUUUAAAUGCAGGCUGUAACACAAUAAAAUGUGGAAAUAGUCAAA